rnacentral:rRNA from 1 species
GACAGAGGAUGCAAGCGUUAUCCGGAAUGAUUGGGCGUAAAGCGUCUGUAGGUGGCUUUUCAAGUCCGCCGUCAAAUCCCAGGGCUCAACCCUGGACAGGCGGUGGAAACUACCAAGCUGGAGUACGGUAGGGGCAGAGGGAAUUUCCGGUGGAGCGGUGAAAUGCGUAGAGAUCGGAAAGAACACCAAUGGCGAAAGCAGCUCUCUGGGACGGUACUGACGCUGAGACGCGAAAGCGUGGGGAGCGAACAGG